GACGAACGCUGGCGGCGUGCUUAACACAUGCAAGUCGAACGGAAAGGCCCUGCUUUUGUGGGGUGCUCGAGUGGCGAACGGGUGAGUAACACGUGAGUAACCUGCCCUUGACUUUGGGAUAACUUCAGGAAACUGGGGCUAAUACCGGAUAGGAGCUCCUGCUGCAUGGUGGGGGUUGGAAAGUUUCGGCGGUUGGGGAUGGACUCGCGGCGUAUCAGCUUGUUGGUGGGGUAGUGGCUUACCAAGGCUUUGACGGGUAGCCGGCCUGAGAGGGUGACCGGCCACAUUGGGACUGAGAUACGGCACAGACUCCUACGGGAGGCAGCAGUGGGGAAUAUUGCACAAUGGGCGGAAGCCUGAUGCUGCAACGCCGCGUGCGGGAUGACGGCCUUCGUGUUGUAAACCGCUUGCGCCUGUAACGAAGCGUGAGUGACGGUAAUGGGUAAAGAAGCACCGGCUAACUACGUG
rnacentral:rRNA from 1 species